rnacentral:rRNA from 1 species
GAUUUCUGGUACAAUGCACCUGGCCCGCGGCCUAUUAGGCUUGUGAGUGCCGGCGCGCGUUUACCAUCCUUCUAGAAAACAGGCCUGCCCUUUACUGGGUUGGGUUUGCGAUCUAGAUCUUUUACUUUGAAAAAAUUAGAGUGUUUAAAGCAGGCUUUUGCUAUGAAUACAUUAGCAUGGAAUAAUAAUCUAGGACUUCGGUUCUAUUUUGUUGGUUUCUAUAACUGAAGUAAUGAUUGAUAGGGAUAGUUGGGGGUGCUAGUAUUCAGUGGCCAGAGGUGAAAUUCUCGGAUUCACUGAAGACUAACUUAUGCGAAAGCAUU